GAACAGGAAGGGACUGUUCACUAUUUACGUUCCCCCCUUUUCAGCCCUCUCUGGCAAUUAGAGCUUCUUAUUGCUUUUAACUCUUUCCGAGGCAGGUGAACGAGGACUAGCAUGGAUUUUAUGCAUUGAUGUUACACAAAGGGGUCCGGUUUUCGUCUGGUGGAAGCGCCCAAUAAUUCACCAAACGGGAGACCAGCUUGAUCCAAAUCACCUUUAUUGAUCACCAUCAGCUUUUGCAAAAGGAGACCCAACCCUCGGCUCACGUCACGCCUGAAGGCUCAAGUCUGGCGUCUGGUUACAUUUCUGCAGGUGGUCUCUCCAAACCUCGCCAGCUUCAGAGACAUCCCUGGAAGGAAAAAAACACAGAGACAAUGAGGGGAAUGGCUGCUAUCCGACAGCCUCUGUGAAGAAUAAUCAUACUAAACACCAGCCUUUGCUUUGUAUCUUUAUGUAUUUUUAAGCAUCUUUGUUGUAAUUUUGGGGAUUUUUUUCAUUUUUAU